rnacentral:tRNA from 1 species
GGCAACAUGGCCGAGUGGUCUAAGGCGCUGGAAUUAGGCUAAUGCCUUCAAAUCCAGUCCGAAAGGGCAGGAGUUCGAACCUCCUUGUUGUCA